rnacentral:ncRNA from 2 species
UGACACGUGGCGGGAGAGAUCCGUCCGCGCCUUGGACGGGCGCCGUAGGAGCAAUUCCUCCCCAGGAAACUCUCAGGCCCCCGUACCGCCACGAAGAG